rnacentral:rRNA from 1 species
GUUUGAUCCUGGCUCAGGAUGAACGCUGGCGGCGUGCCUAACACAUGCAAGUCGAACGAAGAGGCCCCUUCGGGGGUACUUCAGUGGCGGACGGGUGAGUAACACGUAGGUGACCUGCCCCGAAGCAGGGGAUAACGGCUCGAAAGGGCCGCUAAUACCCAAAAGGGUCGCGUGCCAAAGCGCGAUCAGAGUUACGGCGUUUCGGGAGGGGCCUGCGGCCCAUCAGCUAGUUGGUAGGGUAACGGCCUACCAAGGCGACGACGGGUAGGGGGCCUGAGAGGGUGACCCCCCACAUUGGCACUGACACACGGGCCAAACUCCUACGGGAGGCAGCAGUGAGGAAUAUUGCGCAAUGAGCGAAAGCUAGACGCAGCAACGCCGCGUGGACGAUGAAGGCCUUCGGGUCGUAAAGUCCUUUUUAGGGGGACGAGAGAGGACGGUACCCCUAGAAUAAGUCACGGCUAACUACGUGCCAGCAGCCGCGGUAAAACGUAGGUGGCGAGCGUUAUCCGGAUUCACUGGGCGUAAAGCGCCUGCAGGCGGUCCUGUAAGUGGGACGUGAAAUCCCUUGGCUCAACUGAGAGAGGUCGUUCCAUACUGCGGGACUGGAGGGCAGAAGAGGGAAGCGGAAUUCCCGGUGUAGUGGUGAAAUGCGUAGAUAUCGGGAGGAACACCAGUGGCGAAGGCGGCUUCCUGGCCUGCUCCUGACGCUAAGAGGCGAAAGCUAGGGGAGCGAACGGGAUUAGAAACCCCGGUAGUCCUAGCCGUAAACGAUGGAUACUAGGUGUCGGUGGUCCUAACCCCAUCGGUGCCGAAGCUAACGCGUUAAGUAUCCCGCCUGGGGACUACGGCCGCAAGGUUAAAACUCAAAUGAAUUGAC